rnacentral:misc_RNA from 1 species
GGCAGUAAAAGUCGUAACAAGGUUUCCGUAGGUGAACCUGCGGAAGGAUCAUUAUUGUAUAACCGAGGUGCGAGGGCUGUCGCUGACCCGACAGGUCGUGCACGCCCGAGUGCCCUCACACACAUCCAUCUCACCCCUAUGUGCACCACCGCGUGGGUCCCCCUUUGGCUUGUUCGGAGGGGGGCUUACGUUUUCACACAAACUUUGUAUGCAGUGUAGAAUGUAUUUUUUGUUUUUGCGAUCACGCAAUCAAUACAACUUUCAACAACGGAUCUCUUGGCUCUC